AUUGAACGCUGGCGGCAUGCCUAACACAUGCAAGUCGAACGGGGCAGCAAUGCCUAGUGGCGGACGGGUGUGGAAUACGUAGGAAUCUGCCCUUAAGUGGGGGAUAACCAGGGGAAACCCUGACUAAUACCGCAUGAUCUCUUCGGAGCAAAGAGGGGGACCGCAAGGCCUCUCGCUUCUGGAUGAGCCUACGUCUGAUUAGCUAGUUGGUAGGGUAAAGGCCUACCAAGGCGACGAUCAGUAACUGGUCUGAGAGGACAAACAGUCACACCGGAACUAAGACACGGUCCGGACGCCUACGGGAGGCAGCAGUGGGGAAUAUUGGACAAUGGGCGAAAGCCUGAUCCAGCAAUUCCGCGUGUGUGAAGAAGGCCUUCGGGUUGUAAAGCACUUUAGCCUGGAAAGAAAAAACUGUGGUUAACACCCAAAGUCUUGACGGUACCAGGAGAAUAAGCACCGGCUAACUCUGUGCCAGCCGCCGCAGUAAUAC
rnacentral:rRNA from 1 species